rnacentral:rRNA from 1 species
GAUCAUGGCUCAGAUUGAACGCUGGCGGCAGGCCUAACGCAUGCAAGUCGAACGGUAACAGAAAGCAGCUUGCUGCUUUGCUGACGAGUGGCGGACGGGUGAGUAAUGUCUGGGAAACUGCCUGAUGGAGGGGGAUAACUACUGGAAACGGUAGCUAAUACCGCAUAACGUCGCAAGACCAAAGAGGGGACCUUCGGGCCUCUUGCCAUCGGAUGUGCCCAGAUGGGAUUAGCUUG